rnacentral:rRNA from 1 species
AACGAACGCUGGCGGCAUGCCUAACACAUGCAAGUCGAACGAGACCUUCGGGUCUAGUGGCGCACGGGUGCGUAACGCGUGGGAAUCUGCCCUUUGCUUCGGAAUAACAGUUAGAAAUGACUGCUAAUACCGGAUGAUGUCUUCGGACCAAAGAUUUAUCGGCAAAGGAUGAGCCCGCGUAGGAUUAGGUAGUUGGUGGGGUAAAGGCCUACCAAGCCGACGAUCCUUAGCUGGUCUGAGAGGAUGAUCAGCCACACUGGGACUGAGACACGGCCCAGACUCCUACGGGAGGCAGCAGUGGGGAAUAUUGGACAAUGGGCGAAAGCCUGAUCCAGCAAUGCCGCGUGAGUGAUGAAGGCCUUAGGGUUGUAAAGCUCUUUUACCCGACGAUGAUAAUGACAGUAUCGGGAGAAUAAGCUCCGGCUAACUCCGUGCCAG